AGGCCACUUGCUGGACAUCGGGGCGGGGCACACUGAGGGAUUCACUGCUGGCUCCAUUGCCUUUUUGGUGCUCAAUGCUUUUUUAAUCAUUUUGGCUUCCUCUUUUAACGUGGUGCUGCUCUGCCUGACCCUGGCCAUGGAGCUCCUGACUGUUUGUUUUCUGCUUUUUACACUGGAGAACCUCCCUUUGCCAUUUGAAAUUGUGGUGCUGAGCAUCUUCAGUGCCAUCUGCUUCUACGGAGCCACAGCCUCUCUCACCAACUGCAUGUUUGGGAAGGACCUCCUGAUGA